UCACCCGGAGCCUCGUUCGCGGAUAAUACGUCAACAUGCACCCGACCAGUACACGAGGAGCACUGCCCCGAGACGUGACGUGUGGGGUAAUACCCGGGCGUUCCUUCAUUUAUCGGUGAGGAGAACUGUAGGCUGUGUUCUGUACCGGUGCGGGUUGUCCAUUACACUUCAUUCAAGGUGCCCGUUUUCCCCGUGGGGAUGAAGACCUUCUACUUGGGCGUGGCCACAGUGCUGGCCGGGCUGUGUCUAGCGCUUAUGUGUGACGCUGAACCUCACCGCCGUCUCAGGCUGAGAAUAUCUUCCCGGCGCAAUAAAUGACAAGCUUCAACAGAUCCAACACCAGCGACUGCACAUCAGGCCUCUACCAGCUAUAAUCCUUGGCUGAACUGGGCUACUACCACUCAAUCGUAUAACAGUACCUGUAAGUAAAAGAUACUCUAUUUUGCCUUCACAAGCACGUUUUAUUCUGCGCAAAAUAAAGUAACUAUAAUAUGUUCAUACAAUACUUGUAUAUACUACGCUGUUUUGUCAUUAUGUAAAAUACCAUGUGGUUUCCGAAGUUGAACCAUGAAGAUCACACCGUCCUGUUGCUGUUUUAAAUUACGUGUCACUCCGGACCAUAUUUGGGCGAAACAAGGUGUCUCUCUAAAAGCAUACGGAAUAUAGACAGGAUAUAAGUUAACCUAACUGAUAUGUACAUUCCGCAUAUAUUACAUAAUGUUUUCUUGUUCGAAGGCUCGCCAUAAAACGAUGGCCGUUCAUAUGUCAGGACUGCCUGUUCCCAAACUCUAUCUGGUACGGAGGGAAGUUUCAGCAGCCCUGGAGCGGGAGCGGGAGCGUCGUACUCUGGCAACCUUGACUGCCUCUACACCAUUCCCUCACCACCACCAGGGAGCCUAAUUGACAUAACAUUCAUGCUGUUCCAACUGGAGGACCAUUCCUCUUGCGACUAUGACUACGUCAAGUUCUCCUACACCCGCCAGAAGAUCUGUGGAAUCAAGACCACGCCUCUGUAAUUCUCCUUUACAUCCCUGGAGACGGACUUCAAGAUAUACUUCCACUCUGACGGUUCAGUUCAUCAUCCUGGUUUUCUUGCAGCAUUUAGGAUUCGAGAAAGGCUGAACCGGACUGCAACCACUCCGUGGUAUUACAGGACCACAACCCCUUUCAAUUCAUUCACGAACACCUUCACCUUAUACUUCAAGACAGACUACAGCGUUACUAGGAGAGGAUUCUCCAUUAAUUACAGGAC